UUGUGGAGGAGGACGCCGAAGGUGGGGCUAAUGACUGGGGUGAAGUCGUAACAAGGUAGCCGUACCGGAAGGUGCGGCUGGAUCACCUCCUAACAGGGAGACAACAAAAUGUUUAAUAUUAUUAUUUUGUCACCUUAGGUCGAUCGGUAUCUCACGUUCUUAAUUUAUUAAGAAUUUCAUUUCCUAAGUUUUUCUAGGUCACACCCAUUAUUUUCCUGGGCCAUUAGCUCAGGUGGUUAGAGCGCACCCCUGAUAAGGGUGAGGUCCCUGGUUCAAGUCCAGGAUGGCCCAUAUCUCUAUGUUGGGGGUAUAGCUCAGUUGGUAGAGCGCCUGCUUUGCAAGCAGGAUGUCAGCGGUUCGAGUCCGCUUACCUCCACUGAUCACCACCUCUUCCAUAAUCGAUAGAAAGGAAAUGUUUUGAGUUGUGAUCUAAUUCUGAACGAAACUAGCUUCCUAAUGAAAUUAUUAAGAUGCUGGACUCAUUGAAUUAAUUUCAUUGUUUUCAGAGAACCUUGACAACUGCAUAGAUUAUUUUUUAAAGACAAUAAGCAUCUUUAAUGAUGCAGAUUUAUUAUUUGUGCGAAUGCAUUAAUAACAAUUCUAUUAAGCUGAUGCUUCAAUUUUGAAGUUAUUGGUCAAGCUACAA
rnacentral:misc_RNA from 1 species